rnacentral:rRNA from 1 species
GCCAUCAUUUAAAGAAAGCGUAAUAGCUCACUGGUCGAGUCGGCCUGCGCGGAAGAUGUAACGGGGCUAAACCAUGCACCGAAGCUGCGGCAGCGACGCUUAUGCGUUGUUGGGUAGGGGAGCGUUCUGUAAGCCUGUGAAGGUGGCCUGUGAGGGUUGCUGGAGGUAUCAGAAGUGCGAAUGCUGACAUAAGUAACGAUAAAGCGGGUGAAAAGCCCGCUCGCCGGAAGACCAAGGGUUCCUGUCCAACGUUAAUCGGGGCAGGGUGAGUCGACCCCUAAGGCGAGGCCGAAAGGCGUAGUCGAUGGGAAACGGGUUAAUAUUCCCGUACUUGGUGUUACUGCGAAGGGGGGACGGAGAAGGCUAUGUUGGCCGGGCGACGGUUGUCCCGGUUUAAGCGUGUAGGUGUGUGUUCCAGGUAAAUCCGGUUCACUUUAACACUGAGGCGUGAUGACGAGGCACUACGGUGCUGAAGUAACAAAUGCCCUGCUUCCAGGAAAAGCCUCUAAGCAUCAGGUAACAUCAAAUCGUACCCCAAACCGACACAGGUGGUCAGGUAGAGAAUACCAAGGCGCUUGAGAGAACUCGGGUGAAGGAACUAGGCAAAAUGGUGCCGUAACUUCGGGAGAAGGCACGCUGACACGUAGGUGAAGUGAUUUACUCAUGGAGCUGAAGUCAGUCGAAGAUACCAGCUGGCUGCAACUGUUUAUUAAAAACACAGCACUGUGCAAACACGAAAGUGGACGUAUACGGUGUGACGCCUGCCCGGUGCCGGAAGGUUAAUUGAUGGGGUCAGCGCAAGCGAAGCUCCUGAUCGAAGCCCCGGUAAACGGCGGCCGUAACUAUAACGGUCCUAAGGUAGCGAAAUUCCUUGUCGGGUAAGUUCCGACCUGCACGAAUGGCGUAAUGAUGGCCAGGCUGUCUCCACCCGAGACUCAGUGAAAUUGAACUCGCUGUGAAGAUGCAGUGUACCCGCGGCAAGACGGAAAGACCCCGUGAACCUUUACUAUAGCUUGACACUGAACAUUGAGCCUUGAUGUGUAGGAUAGGUGGGAGGCUUUGAAGUGUGGACGCCAGUCUGCAUGGAGCCGACCUUGAAAUACCACCCUUUAAUGUUUGAUGUUCUAACGUGGACCCGUUACCCGGGUUGCGGACAGUGUCUGGUGGGUAGUUUGACUGGGGCGGUCUCCUCCUAAAGAGUAACGGAGGAGCACGAAGGUUGGCUAAUCCUGGUCGGACAUCAGGAGGUUAGUGCAAUGGCAUAAGCCAGCUUGACUGCGAGCGUGACGGCGCGAGCAGGUGCGAAAGCAGGUCAUAGUGAUCCGGUGGUUCUGAAUGGAAGGGCCAUCGCUCAACGGAUAAAAGGUACUCCGGGGAUAACAGGCUGAUACCGCCCAAGAGUUCAUAUCGACGGCGGUGUUUGGCACCUCGAUGUCGGCUCAUCACAUCCUGGGGCUGAAGUAGGUCCCAAGGGUAUGGCUGUUCGCCAUUUAAAGUGGUACGCGAGCUGGGUUUAGAACGUCGUGAGACAGUUCGGUCCCUAUCUGCCGUGGGCGCUGGAGAACUGAGGGGGGCUGCUCCUAGUACGAGAGGACCGGAGUGGACGCAUCACUGGUGUUCGGGUUGUCAUGCCAAUGGCACUGCCCGGUAGCUAAAUGCGGAAGAGAUAAGUGCUGAAAGCAUCUAAGCACGAAACUUGCCCCGAGAUGAGUUCUCCCUGAGACUUAAAGUCUCCUGAAGGAACGUUGAAGACGACGACGUUGAUAGGCCGGGUGUGUAAGCGCAGCGAUGCGUUGAGCUAACCGGUACUAAUGAACCGUGAGGCUUAACCUUACAACGCCGAAG